UCCAACUGUACUGACGAUAUCCUCCAAACUACAGUCUGUGCCGAGUCCAACUGUACUGACGAUAUACUCCAAACUACAGUCUGUUCUUCCAGAUUAAGAGAUGGCGUCUCAUUUUUCAAUGCCAUGCCCAAAUUAAGAGAUGGCAUCUCAUUUUUCACUGCCACGCCUAAAAUAAGUUAUGAUGUCUCAUUUUUAACUGCCAUACCCAAAUUUUGUGAUGACAUCUUGCUUUUCACUUCUACGUCCAAUUUAAGUAGUGAGGCCUUUCCAUCUUUUUUCCCAGUGAUGUCCAAAUAUAGUGAUGAUGUCCCUCCAGUUCUAGGUUAUGUCACGUCUGACUGCAGAGAUGAAGCUCUCCAAGCUUCAGUCUGUUCUGUAGCUUACUUGAGUGUCGGUGUCCCUCAGUCUCCACUCCACAAAACAUUCGACUGUAGAGACAAUGUCCCCCAAGCUACAACCUGUGCAACACCUGACUGUAGUGUUUAUGCUCCCCGAACUCCGUCAAGCCAAUUACAGGAUGAUGAGACAACAAUUAUUGACAUCAAUUCACACCGUUAUGAAAUCGGCUGUCAGUUGGGUAAAGGAGGCUUUGGAAUCGUGUACGCAGCAACUCGUUUAAAUGAUGGCCUACAGGUGGCAAUAAAAUUGGCAUCCAACAAGAUUACAAAGUUCAUCAGCAUUGAUGGUUAUUCUGGACGUCUUCCUCUGGAGGUUGCUUUGCAAAUUCUUGCAAAUAAAGGCCCCAGGGUGGAGGAAAUCGUUCAGCUUCUGGACUGGCGGCUGGAUCCUGACUGUUACUUUAUGGUCCUAGAGCGGCCCGUGCCCUGUCAGUCCUUGUUUCAGUAUUUAAAGUGCUACAAAGGCAUCAUGGACGAGGACUUUGCUCGAGUUAUAAUGAACCAGGCAAUAUUUGCGGCUCGGAUGUGCUGCCUUCGUGGAGUGUUGCACCGGGACAUAAAGCUGGAAAACCUUCUGAUCAACCCGGACACACUCGAAGUCAAAUUGAUUGACUUUGGCUGUGGUGCAAUCCUCACCGACGGGGGUUACACGUCCUUUACUGGCACAAGAGAGUACUGCCCUCCUGAGUAUCACAUGACCGGCCAGUACCUCGGGGAACCAGCGACAGUGUGGUCACUCGGGAUCCUCUUGUUUGUGAUUCUUUUCCGUAAAUAUCCAAAGAGACGACACCUGCACAAGAUCAAUGAUAAAAACUGGACUAAAGCUGGCCUGUCAAAAGAAUGCUGCGAUUUAAUUCGCCGGUGUCUACAGAUCGACCCAAAGCAGCGGAUUGAACUGGGGAAACUCAGUCUCCACGACUGGCUUAUGACUGCAGACAAGGAGAAUAACAACGACACAAUAAUGGACAUCAAUUCAUGCCGUUAUGAAAUCAUCUGUCAGCUGGGUGAUGGAGGCUUCGGAACCGUUUAUGCAGCGACUCGUUUGGACGACGGCCUACAGGUGGCGAUAAAAGUCGUCUCCAGCAGGAACAGAAAGUUCAUCAGUAUUGACGGUUGUUCCAAGCCUCUUCCUCUGGAGGUUGCUUUGCAAAUCCUUGCAGACGGAGACCCCAGGGUCGAGGAAAUCAUCCAGCUUCUGGACUGGCGGGUGGAGUCUGACCACUACAUUUUGGUGCUAGAGCGUCCCGUUCCCUUUGAGGAACUGAACUGGUUUCUCCUGCAGCAAAUGGGUACCAUUCAAGAGGACAUGGCACGAGUUAUAAUGCGCCAGGCAACAUUCGCAGCUCAAACAUGCUGCAGACGUGGAGUGUUUCAUCAGGACAUAAAGCUGGAAAAGCUUCUGAUCAACCCGGACACACUCAAAGUCAAGUUAACUGACUUUGGGUGUGGUGACUUCCUCAGCUGUGUGGGUUACACGUCCUUUGUUGGCACAAGAGAGUACUGCCCUCCUGAGUAUCACAUGACCGGCCAGUACCACGGGGAACCAGCGACAGUGUGGUCACUCGGGAUCCUCUUGUUUCUUAUGCUUUGUGGGGAUUUUCCAAAUACACCAGACCUGCACAUGAUCGACGGUCACAACUGGACCAAAGAUGGCUUGUCGGAAGAAUGCAGCGAUUUUAUUUGCUGCUGUCUGCAAAUCAAUCCAAAAGAGCGGAUUGAACUGGAGAAACUUAGUCUCCACGACUGGUUUAUGUUUUUUGUUUAGGAUUGCUGAAAUGAGGGGAGCAAAAGAAAAUAGUAAUUCUGUCAAUUAUCGCCAGGAUCAACUGGAAGUUCCUUGUGAAGAACAGAGGACACGUUGUGUACGAAUGUGCAAUUAGAAGAAAAUUUUAAUAUGAAAGCUCAGAAUAUGUUUUUCAGCCAUUUUGACAGCCCUACAACUUCCCCUUUAUUUGCAUCUGGAGGUGAGCUGAACGCCCAAUGUGCAAAGACUCCUAAAGAACCGGACAGCAGAUCUCCCUGUCCUCCGCAAGGCCGCCCAAUGCUCUUCUG